rnacentral:rRNA from 1 species
GAUGAACGCUGACAGAAUGCUUAACACAUGCAAGUCUUUGGCGAAGCUGUGCUUGCACAGCCUAGCCAAGGCGGACGGGUGAGUAACGCGUAAGGAACUUGCCCUGCAGUCAGGGAUAACAGACGGAAACGACUGAUAAGACCUGGUAAAGUCAGGCGGACUCAUGUCCAGCCUGAUGAAAAGAGAUGCUGCAGGAGAGCCAUGCGUCCUAUUAGCUUGUUGGUGGGGUAACGGCCCACCAAGGCGAUGAUAGGUAGCCGGCCUGAGAGGGUGGACGGCCACAAGGGGACUGAGAUACGGCCCUUACUCCUACGGGAGGCAGCAGUGGGGAAUAUUGGACAAUGGGGGCAACCCUGAUCCAGCAAUUCUGUGUGCACGAUGAAGGUUUUCGGAUUGUAAAGUGCUUUCAGCAGGGAAGAAAAAAAUGACGGUACCUGCAGAAGAAGCGACGGCUAAAUACGUGCCAGCAGCCGCGGUAAUACGUAUGUCGCAAGCGUUAUCCGGAAUUAUUGGGCAUAAAGGGCAUCUAGGCGGCCAGAUAAGUCUGGGGUGAAAACUUGCGGCUCAACCGCAAGCCUGCCCUGGAAACUACGUGGCUAGAGUACUGGAGAGGUGGACGGAACUGCACGAGUAGAGGUGAAAUUCGUAGAUAUGUGCAGGAAUGCCGAUGAUGAAGAUAGUUCACUGGACGGUAACUGACGCUGAAGUGCGAAAGCUAGGGGAGCAAACAGG